AGUGAACGCUGGCGGUAGGCCUAACACAUGCAAGUCGAACGGCAGCACAGUAAGAGCUUGCUCUUACGGGUGGCGAGUGGCGGACGGGUGAGGAAUACAUCGGAAUCUACUUUUUCGUGGGGGAUAACGUAGGGAAACUUACGCUAAUACCGCAUACGACCUACGGGUGAAAGCAGGGGAUCUUCGGACCUUGCGCGAUUGAAUGAGCCGAUGUCGGAUUAGCUAGUUGGCGGGGUAAAGGCCCACCAAGGCGACGAUCCGUAGCUGGUCUGAGAGGAUGGUCAGCCACACUGGAACUUAGACACGGUCCAGGCUCCUACGGGAGGCAGCAGUGGGGAAUAUGGGACAAUGGGGGCAAGCCUGAUCCAGCCAGACCGCGUGGGUGAAGAAGGCGUUCGGGUUGUAAAGCCCUUUUGUUGGGAAAGAAAAGCAGCAGGUUGAUACCCCGCUGUUCUGACGGUACCCAAAGAAUAAGCACCGGCUAACUUCGUG
rnacentral:rRNA from 1 species